UUUAUUGGACUAAUAUAAUAUUUCAAAGACAAGAUUUCAAGAGUUUUCCUCUCCUCCAUGGGUCUGAAGCAAUACUGAUCAACCUGAUAGAGUUUAACACUUAAAAAAACUGAUGUUAGAGAAGGGGAGGGAGGGGUGUGAGUGGGGUUUUUUAAAUAGCAGAAGAUGUGCCUGAAAGUGAAAGGUGCAGGUUGGCUGAGAAUAGCCAGAAAAAGUAAAUGAACAGAGGAGAGUCAGUAAGCUAGUUGUCUUUGAAAUAUUAGGUUAGUCCAAUAAAAAAGGUAUCAUUGCAUACUGCAAUACUUUGGUAUUUUUGGAACUUGUCUACUGGACUAAUACGGCUAAUCCA